GCCGGUGGCCAUGGAGAGGCAGAAAUACCCGUUCCCAUUCCGAACACGGAAGUCAAGCGCCCCAUCGCCGAGGGUAGUGCGGGACCCGCCCGCGCGAGAGUAGGACGCCGCCGGCC
rnacentral:rRNA from 1 species